AAUAUACUCCCUCCAUCCGGAAAUACUUGUCGUAAGAAUGGUUGUAUCUAGACUUAUUUUAGUUAUAGAUACAUCCAUUUUAUCCAUUUCUAGGACAAGUAUUUCCGAACGGAGGGAGUAUAAU
rfam:Triticum aestivum genome assembly, contig: Triticum_aestivum_CS42_TGACv1_scaffold_624852_7DS